rnacentral:rRNA from 1 species
ACGCGAAGAACCUUACCAGGUCUUGACAUCCCAAUGACCGUCCUAGAGAUAGGAUUUUCCCUUCGGGGACAUUGGUGACAGGUGGUGCAUGGUUGUCGUCAGCUCGUGUCGUGAGAUGUUGGGUUAAGUCCCGCAACGAGCGCAACCCUUAUUCUUAGUUGCCAUCAUUUAGUUGGGCACUCUAAGGAGACUGCCGGUGACAAACCGGAGGAAGGUGGGGAUGACGUCAAAUCAUCAUGCCCCUUAUGACCUGGGCUACACACGUGCUACAAUGGACGAUACAAAGAGUCGCAAACUCGCGAGGGUAAGCUAAUCUCAUAAAAUCGUUCUCAGUUCGGAUUGUAGGCUGCAACUCGCCUGCAUGAAGCCGGAAUCGCUAG